rnacentral:rRNA from 7 species
GAGACCUCAGGUCAGGCGGGGCUACCCGCUGAGUUUAAGCAUAUC